rnacentral:lncRNA from 1 species
GGCCACAUCUCCUCUCCACGCCCCCCAACCCCACCUGGGGCCUGCAAACCGCCCUUCCCCCCCCCGCCCCCAGACCCCCAUCCCCCCCAACCAGCAGCUCACCUGUGGGGCGGGCGCCGUGGGGCCGCACCGUCGGCGUUGGGGCCGCGCCGUGGCCGUGGGGAGGGUCGGGAAUUUGGUGGUGGUGGGGCAGAGAGGGGGGGGUGGGGAGCAGAGAGGAGGAUUUGAGGGGAAAAAGAGGAGGGGGGAAAGAUGCAAAAAGAAAUCAACCGACCGACCCCGAUAGGGGUGGAGAGGAGAAGGCGGUGAUGCUACGGAGCCGGGGACACCCAGGCCCCCCAGGCGGUGCCGGUGCCGGUGUUGGUUCCGCCGGCGGCUGCCUGUGCCCACGCGGCGCUGCCGUCGGUGCUCCAGGCCGCGUAUUGAGCCCCGGCGUCACCGGUGCCGUACUGGGAGGCGUCGGCGGCGUACUGGGAGGCGCUGUACUGGGAGGAGGAAGAGGAGUACUGGGAGGCGUACUGGGAGUACUGGGCGUACUGGUAGGCGCUGUACUGGGAGGAGGAGGAGGAGUACUGAUGGCCGUACUGGGCGUACUGGUAGAGGCGGGACGAGGUGACGCCGGCGGGGGUGGCGGCGAAAGGGGAGGGGGAGCGAGGGGGCGUGGCCGAAGAGGCUCCGCCCACCAUGCGGUGGCAGCAGGGGGAGGUGAGGCGGCCCCCCCCCCCGCAGCCCAGGCGGUGCAGGCAGGAGGCGGAGCUUAAGCGGCCGCAGGCCCCGCCCCCCUGCUGCAGGCGGUGCAGGCAGGAGGCGGAGCUUAAGCGCGGGGAGCACGAAGCCCCGCCCCCGGCUUGGAGGCGGUGAGCGCAGGCUCCGCCCCCCAGCCCCAUUCGCCCCGCCCCACCGAAGCAAGCCCCGCCCCCGGCGCGGCAGGGAGUGGCUAAGAAGGGGGAGGCGGGGCUACGCGGGAAGCAGGCUCCGCCCCCUCGGGGCGUGGCUAAGAACGGGGAGGCGGGGCUUCGCGAGAAGGUGGCCCCGCCCCUCAGCAGCGGGAAGGGGCCGCGGGGGGAGGAGCCGAGAGAGGCCACGCCCCCGCGGGUGGGGGUGAGAGCCAAUAGGGAGCCGGGGGCGCGGGUGGGGCC